UCUGCCAUGUGGUAUUCCUCAGUUGA
rnacentral:piRNA from 1 species